UACGUAGGGUGCAAGCGUUGUUCGGAAUUACUGGGCGUAAAGGGCGCGUAGGCGGCGACCCAAGUCAGAUGUGAAAGUCCUGGGCUUAACCUGGGGACUGCAUUUGAUACUGGGUUGCUUGAAUUCGGGAGAGGAUAGCGGAAUUCCCAGUGUAGAGGUGAAAUUCGUAGAUAUUGGGAAGAACACCGGUGGCGAAGGCGGCUAUCUGGACCGACAUUGACGCUGAGGCGCGAAAGCGUGGGGAGCAAACAGG
rnacentral:rRNA from 1 species